rnacentral:lncRNA from 1 species
UUUGACAUCUGGGUUCUUAAGAACUUUUUAUUAGUGUAGUUUUCAUGAUUGCAUAGUUUGCAAAAGAAACUUAACAAUGAAAUGCAGUCUCCUCACUGUGACCAUUCCAUUCUAAACCAUCAAUGCCCAGUGCUGGGAAUUCACACCACGUACCAACUGUACCAAAGCAGUCCUCUUCCAGGGCAAGUUUAAGAUCAAACAAACAAAAAUAAUUCUGGUAAGUUAAAUCCCAUUGCCAAAGGAGGUAAAUGCUCCUCUGUAACGGAGUCUGCACAAUACCAAUUAUAAAAUUCAGUUUCCCAACAGAAAAAAUAGUCUAAGUGACAGAAGAAAUCUGAUCAAACUGCUUACUGCAAGUUAAAUCCUUGUAAAUGUUUUAAAUGCUAAUGUUUCAGCUUGUGCUUUUAAAAGUGGUUUUUUAGCUCCUCUGGGCAUGAGCUGUCAGUUACCAGGAGACUAUGUGAUCAGGAACAGGUCAAGCUGUCAUCUUUAGCAGGGAGCCACAGGGGAGGGGUAGGGAGGUGGGGAUUACAGGGCAACUUCUGCUCACCACAAUCAUCAUCAAACAAAUGCCUUUGGAGCUGGUUGUGACCCCCCAGCUGUCAGCAGCUUCAACAGCUUCAGUGCAACAUCCAGAAUCACCCUCACUUGCAGACAAUCACAACCCUGAGUAGCAGCUGGAGAAGAGACUCCACCUCACACAUCCUCCCAGCACAGCCUCUCACCUGGGCUGCAAACCCCAGAGCUCUGGGAACAUGGUACAAGACACCAACGCCACCACCGUACACACUUUGUGAGGGGAAGGGGAGCCAGAGAAAGAAACGCCUUUGGUGGAACACAGCUCUGCUACUUUGCCAAGCCCCCAAAGGCAAAGGCUCCACCUGGCACUUGCACAUCCGUGACAGCCCAUGAAGUGAAACCUUGUUUAACAACGCAAACUGUGAAACAAGGGGCUGCUAUGUCCAUCUCCUUUAUUUGCGGCUCUGCGGUAUAAUGAUUACAGGUAGACUUUCAUGAACUGUACAAGCAG